rnacentral:rRNA from 1 species
CCUACGGGAGGCAGCAGUGAGGAAUAUUGGUCAAUGGGAGAGAUCCUGAACCAGCCAAGCCGCGUGAGGGAAGACGGCCCUAUGGGUUGUAAACCUCUUUUGUCGGAGAACAAAACCCGGGACGUGUCCCGGACUGCGUGUAUCCGAAGAAAAAGCAUCGGCUAACUCCGUGCCAGCAGCCGCGGUAAUACGUAGGUGGCGAGCGUUAUCCGGAAUGAUUGGGCGUAAAGGGUGCGUAGGCGGCCUGCUAAGUCAGCGGUAAAAUCGCGGGGCUCAACCUCGCUCCGCCGUUGAAACUGGCGUUC